rnacentral:rRNA from 1 species
GGAAUAUUGGACAAUGGGCGAAAGCCUGAUCCAGCAAUGCCGCGUGUGUGAAGAAGGCCUGCGGGUUGUAAAGCACUUUUAUCGGGAAAGAAAAUCACAGGACUAAUACUUCUGUGCCUUGACGGUACCCGAAGAAUAAGCACCGGCUAACUCCGUGCCAGCAGCCGCGGUAAUACGGAGGGUGCGAGCGUUAAGCGGAAUUACUGGGCGUAAAGCGCGCGUAGGCGGCUAAGUAAGCCGGUUGUGAAAGCCCCGGGCUCAACCUGGGAACGGCAUCCGGAACUGUUUAGCUAGAGUGCAGGAGAGGAAGGUAGAAUUCCCGGUGUAGCGGUGAAAUGCGUAGAGAUCGGGAGGAAUACCAGUGGCGAAGGCGGCCUUCUGGACUGACACUGACGCUGAGGUGCGAAAGCGUGGGUAGCA